rnacentral:rRNA from 1 species
UGAUGACGAGACGCUAAGGCGUUGAAGCAGUGUAUGUCAGACUUCCAAGAAAAGCUCGCAAUGUCAUAAAUAAAAAUGCCUGUACCAUAACCGACACAGGUGGGUAGGUAGAGUAUACUAAGGGGCGCGAGAUAACUCUCUCUAAGGAACUCGGCAAAAUGACUCCGUAACUUCGGGAGAAGGAGUGCCUUAUUUAUAAGGUUGCAAUAACAAGAUCCAAGCAACUGUUUAUCAAAAACACAGGUCUCCGCUAAGUCGUAAGACGAUGUAUGGGGGCUGACGCCUGCCCAGUGCCAGAAGGUUAAAGAAGUUGGUUAGUGUAUGCGAAGCUGAUGACUGAAGCCCUGGUGAACGGCGGCCGUAACUAUAACGGUCCUAAGGUAGCGAAAUUCCUUGUCGGGUAAGUUCCGACCCGCACGAAAGGCGUAAUGAUUUGGAUACUGUCUCGGAGAGAGGCUCGGUGAAAUAGACUUGUCUGUGAAGAUGCGGACUACCUGCACCAGGACAAAAGGACCCUAUGAAGCUUUACUGUAACUUGAAAUUGGAAUUGGACUUUGCUUGCGCAGUAUAGGUGGGAAGCGUUGAAGAUAUUCUUGCGGGAGUAUUGGAGCUAUCAGUGAGAUACCACUCUUGUAAUGUUAGAUUUCUAACUUUGAACCAUAAUCUGGUCAAAGAACAGUUUCAGGUGGGCAGUUUGACUGGGGCGGUCGCCUCCCAAAUGGUAACGGAGGCGUACAAAGGUUUCCUCUGAACGGAUAGAAAUCGUAUCUAGAGUGUAAAGGCAUAAGGAAGCUUGACUGUGAGACCUACAAGUCGAGCAGGGACGAAAGUCGGUCUUAGUGAUCUGACGGUACUGAGUGGAAAGGCCGUCACUCAACGGAUAAAAGUUACUCUAAGGAUAACAGGCUGAUCUCCCCCAAGAGUUCACAUCGACGGGGAGGUUUGGCACCUCGAUGUCGGCUCAUCGCAUCCUGGGGCGGUAGUACGUCCCAAGGGUUGGGCUGUUCGCCCAUGAAAGCGGUACGCGAGCUGGGUUCAGAACGUCGUGAGACAGUUCGGUCCAUAUCCGGUGUAGGCGCUAGAAUAUUGAGAGGAGCCUUCUUUAGUACGAGAGGACCGAGAAGGACACACCGCUGGUGUACCAGUUAUCGUGCCAACGGUAAACGCUGGGUAGCUAUGUGUGGAGUGGAUAACCGCUGAAAGCAUCUAAGUGGGAAGCCCACCUCAAGAUGAGUAUUCUCAC